CCUACGGGCGGCAGCAGUGGGGAAUAUUGCACAAUGGGGGGAACCCUGAUGCAGCGACGCCGCGUGAGUGAAGAAGUCUUUCGGUAUGUAAAGCUCUAUCAGCAGGGAAGAAAAUGACGGUACCUGACUAAGAAGCCCCGGCUAACGACGUGCCAGCAGCCGCGGGCAUACGUAGGGGGCCAGCGUUAUCCGGAUUUACUGGGUGUAAAGGGAGCGUAGACGGGAGAGCAAGUCUGAAGUGAAAGCUCGCGGGCCAACUGCGGGACUGCUGUGGAAACUGCCCGGCUAGAGUGCGGGAGAGGUAAGCGGAAUGCCUAGUGUAGCGGUGAAAUGCGUAGAUAUUAGGAGGAACACCAGUGGCGAAGGCGGCUUACUGGACAGUAACUGACGUUGAGGCUCGAAAGCGUGGGGAGCAAACAGGAUUAGAUACCCUGGUAGUC
rnacentral:rRNA from 1 species